UUACUUCGGUACAUCGGUGACAGGUGGUGCAUGGUUGUCGUCAGCUCGUGUCGUGAGAUGUUGGGUUAAGUCCCGCAACGAGCGCAACCCCUAUUGUUAGUUGCCAUCAUUCAGUUGGGCACUCUAGCGAGACUGCCGGUAAUAAACCGGAGGAAGUGGGGAUGACGUCAAUCAUCAUGCCCCUUAUGACCUGGGCUACACACGUGCUACAAUGGUUGGUACAACGAGUUGCGAGUCGGUGACGGCGAGCUAAUCUCUUAAAGCCGAUCUCAGUUCGGAUUGUAGGCUGCAACUCGCCUACAUGAAGUCGGAAUCGCUAGUAAUCGCGGAUCAGCACGCCGCGGUGAAUACGUUCCCGGGCCUU
rnacentral:rRNA from 1 species